rnacentral:sRNA from 1 species
UUGACAGCUCUGGCUUUUCUCUGUUUAUCCACAGAACAGGCAAGGCAUGGUCAGUGGCAGUGCCAGCUUCCUGCACACUGCCUUCUGUAUGUGCCUUAACACAGACCUGGGGAAACUUCCUCCGGGCGUGGAAGCAGAGUUUAGUCUUCAUGUCUCAUUCAGUCAUAGGCCUCU